CCUACGGGGGGCAGCAGUGGGGAAUAUUGGACAAUGGGGGGAACCCUGAUCCAGCCAUGCCGCGUGUGUGAAGAAGGCCCUCGGGUUGUAAAGCACUUUCAGUGAGGAAGAACGCCUGGUGGUUAAUACCCAUCAGGAAAGACAUCACUCACAGAAGAAGCACCGGCUAACUCCGUGCCAGCAGCCGCGGUAAUACGGAGGGUGCGAGCGUUAAUCGGAAUUACUGGGCGUAAAGCGCGCGUAGGUGGCUUGAUAAGCCGGUUGUGAAAGCCCCGGGCUCAACCUGGGAACGGCAUCCGGAACUGUCAAGCUAGAGUGCAGGAGAGGAAGGUAGAAUUCCCGGUGUAGCGGUGAAAUGCGUAGAGAUCGGGAGGAAUACCAGUGGCGAAGGCGGCCUUCUGGACUGACACUGACACUGAGGUGCGAAAGCGUGGGUAGCAAACAUGAUUAGAUACCCUGGUAGUC
rnacentral:rRNA from 1 species